GAAAUUUUCACCCAAAAAAAUUCCCGCUUUUUGGCUUAAUCGAUUGCUACCAAAACCAAAUUAAUUCAAUUUGCCUACCCUCAAAAUUUCUUGUGGAUCCCAUGGUUGCAAUCCCAAUCUCUUCAUUUGCCACAGUAUUGAUUUUUGGUCAAUAAAUUCUUGCCUAAUUUACGACGUGGAGAUUGUGUUCUUCAAGCAGUCUUAAAGGUAUGCCUAUCAGGUUUGCUUUAAUCUUUGAUUGAUUUUCCAGCUUUGUUUAAUUAGAUCUGGUGCUUCGAUUGAUUUUUCUAAAAUUCGAAGAAUUUGUUAAAUAUGAACCAUUGGAUUUAUAUGACACUUUUAAUCUGUAAUUAAUUACUCAAAUAUGUCUUUUCUUAAACAGAAAUUUUUUGUUUUUAAUGAUGCUUGAUUAGUAUAGUUUUAAUCAUUUUCUUUUGUUUCCCCAUUUUGAACCGAAUGUAGUAGAUGGGAUUGUGAAGUUUUCAUGUAAUUUUAGUUGACUUCUUUGAAGGGGGAAAAAAAAAAGUAGAAUUAACUACAAAGAAAUUCUGUUUUAUUGAAAUGGGCUUGAUCAAUUGUGACAUUAUGUUUAGGGGAGUGAAAUUGGAAUUGGGAUUGUGAAAGAUUUAUUUUAAUAUUUGUUCUAAUUUUAAUUUCAAGGUGAUGAAUUCCAUUCCAUGUUCUGCUUGUAAUUCAUUUCUUUGUAAUUUGACAAGUAGUAUGCUAUGAGAUUGUCGUUUUGGCUUCUAUGAAGGAUGAGCACCCUUGAUAACUUCCGUGUAUCACGUCAAGAGGACGAGGCUCCUAACGGGGGAGGAAAGGAGAGGGUAAGCAGGCUAUUUUCACUGUGGAAGUUGUAGGUCUCUUUGCCCUUUCCAUAUUAGUAGCAAAAUUUCUCCUACCUUUUAGUAGCUUGCGUUGUCUUCCACACUGCUUUCUUAAGUUAGUUGUUAGACUAAGUUCACCGGCCAAGUCAUAAUUUUAGAUUCAUUUGUAGCUGACUUUAUUUCUGUCACCUUAAAUCUUCAACUUGUCCUAUGAACAAAAACUGUAAUCAUACUGGUAAGUAUGAAUCAAAGAAAAUAUUAAGUAUUUUCAUGUCAAUAUAUACAUGCUAUGUAUAAUUAUAAUCCUGUUGAUUUCUGAUAACUGCGCAUGCACACAGAGCAAUCGUAUAGGAACUGCUAUAAAUCUUCUUUGGUAUUCAAAGGCAUACGUAUGAAUGCAAUUUUCUUUUUCGAUUAUCAGAAAUCUCUUCAAUGAAAUGUUUUGGAAAGUUCAAAAGGAGAACCUUUGGGUUACCACAGCUACAAAAAAUGGGGAUCAAAGUUUCAUUGCUCAGUUGGAACUUUCGCGUGCUUCUUAAUUAUAUAUGAGAAGUGAAAUUUAAGGAACGGGUUCAAUUUUCGGCUAAAUGGUUUUUGUGAGUUGAAAAUAUAUUUUAUGAACAAGAUCCUGGUAAUAACCUAAUUUGGUUCAUCAAGGGAAAUUAACUAAGAAAAUGUAAAUUACAUGUCCACUAGCACAGUACUCAUUCCGAGGAUUUCAGGAAAAUAUCUAAUGUAACUCCGUUCUAAUGUAAAUCAAAUUAGAUAAUUUCAAAUAGAAUUUUCCAUUGAUGGAUGAACUCCGUUCUAAUGUAAAUCAUUCCUUAUCUUAUUUCCAAGAAUUUUUAGACAUGUUUUAAAGAGUUUGGGCUACACAUUUGAUGGGAGCAUUGUUGUGGUAACAUAACUGAAGGCAUAACUAAUGGUGAUGGUGUUCAGUAUAGAUAAUGCAUUGCAACAGGCCCAUAUUUUUUUUUACCUAGUGUACCUCAAUAUGAAUAAUACUCAUUCGAUAUUGUUUGGGGUCUUCCCUGCUUUUCCUGCUGCCUUCUGAGUCUUGAGUAUUUAUUUGUUACAAGCCUUGCUUUACUGGUGUAAUUGAAUGGUAUUUGAAUGAUUAUUUUGGUUAGGUUCUUGAGAUAUUGAAGAAAAUGUUUGGUAUACAUUCCAAAUAGACAACUGCUUCAAGUGAGAAAAUCUAUCCAAAAGGUCAAUUGGAACUGAAUGCAAUGGGCCUGACAGACAUCUUCGCUGAAUAGAACUUAGAACCUGACUAAAACUGGUUUAAUACCCAAAAUCAUUUAAAACUUGAGCUAAACCAGACUUAGCUAGGUGGUUUAGCACUUUUGUCCACCUAAUAAUAACGGUUGAAGACAUUCAGAUCCUGCCCUCGAUUAUGUGGCUCAAACUCUUAUUUUGUAAACCUACUGGAAUACAAAUACUUUCCAGAUUAUAUGUGAAACAGCCCCGAAGAGGAACUUCAUCUUGUAUUUUAACCGUCACCUAACAUUAUUAUCUUUUGCCAUCACCUGAAUAUGGUGAGAAACAGAUAGGCACCAACCAUGGUAAAAACCAAUGCUUUGCUGCAGAUGUCCCUUUGGAGGAGAUAACUGUAGAUGAUGCCAAUGCCGAAAUUAAUAUCAUGAUGUCCGUUCUAGGUACGAAGCCCGGGCAUCAAAUUUUUGGGUUACGAGAAAUAGGAUAUCUUCUUCCAAUGUACACAAUUUGGAGAAGGAGUUGGAAACAGAACGUGCUGCUCGUAAGAUAGAAGAUGCAGCAGCUCGAGUAAGCAUGGAGCAAAAUAUGUAAAACAAGCUAAAGGUUGUUGAGCAACAAUUCAAUUCUACAUUACAAUCUUGGCAUCAUUCCAUACAACAAUUAUGUGGUAAAGUUUCGGGCUUCAUUGUACCACCAUUUAUACCAUUAUCAAUAGAGAAUAAUGGAAAUGGGAAAGAUAAUGUUAUUGAAGAUGAAGAUAAUAACUUUGGUGAGAAUCAGUGCGUAUCUAAUUCAUGGGAAUAAAGUGUCAUGUUUUUUUAACUUUAGAUGUAAUCAAACUUGAUGAAUGUCA
rnacentral:lncRNA from 1 species